GAUGAACGCUAGCGAUAGGCCUAACACAUGCAAGUCGAGGGGUAGCACAGAGUAGCAAUACUUGGGUGACGACCGGCGCACGGGUGAGUAACACGUAUGCAACCUACCUAUAACAGGGAGAUAACCCGGAGAAAUCCGGACUAAUACCCCAUAACACAGGGAUGCCGCAUGGCAAUAUUUGUUAAAGAUUAAUCGGUUAUAGAUGGGCAUGCGUUCCAUUAGCCAGUUGGUGAGGUAACGGCUCACCAAAGCAACGAUGGAUAGGGGAACUGAGAGUUUUGUCCCCCAACCUGGAACUGAGACACGGACCAGACUACUACGGGAGGCAGCAGUGAGGAAUAUUGGUCAAUGGGCGGGAGCCUGAACCAGCCAAAUCGCGUGAAGGAAGACUGCCCUACGGGUUGUAAACUUCUUUUAUAGGGGAAUAAAAAAGGGAACGAGUUCCCUAUUGUAUGUACCCUAUGAAUAAGCAUCGGCUAACUCCGUGCCAGCAGCCGCCGUAAAAC
rnacentral:rRNA from 1 species